rnacentral:rRNA from 1 species
CGGACGGGUGAGUAAUGCUUGGGAAUCUGGCUUAUGGAGGGGGAUAACUACGGGAAACUGUAGCUAAUACCGCGUAGUAUCGAGAGAUGAAAGGCUGGGACCGCAAGGCCAGUUGCCAUAAGAUGAGCCCAAGUGGGAUUAGGUAGUUGGUGGGGUAAAGGCCUACCAAGCCGACGAUCUCUAGCUGGUCUGAGAGGAUGACCAGCCACACUGGAACUGAGACACGGUCCAGACUCCUACGGGAGGCAGCAGUGGGGAAUAUUGCACAAUGGGGGGAACCCUGAUGCAGCCAUGCCGCGUGAAUGAAGAAGGCCUUCGGGUUGUAAAGUUCUUUCGGUGAUGAGGAAGGUGUUUGUUUUAAUAGAGCAAGCAAUUGACGUUAGUCACAGAAGAAGCACCGGCUAACUCCGUGCCAGCAGCCGCGGUAAUACGGAGGGUGCGAGCGUUAAUCGGAAUGACUGGGCGUAAAGGGCACGCAGGCGGUGACUUAAGUGAGAUGUGAAAGCCCCGAGCUUAACUUGGGAAUUGCAUUUCAUACUGGGUUGCUAGAGUAUUUUAGGGAGGGGUAGAAUUCCACGUGUAGCGGUGAAAUGCGUAGAGAUGUGGAGGAAUACCGAAGGCGA